rnacentral:rRNA from 1 species
UGGGGAAUAUUGCACAAUGGGCACAAGCCUGAUGCAGCCAUGCCGCGUGUAUGAAGAAGGCCUUCGGGUUGUAAAGUACUUUCAGCGGGGAGGAAGGCGAUAAGGUUAAUAACCUUGUCGAUUGACGUUACCCGCAGAAGAAGCACCGGCUAACUCCGUGCCAGCAGCCGCGGUAAUACGGAGGGUGCAAGCGUGACUCGGAAUUACUGGGCGUAAAGCGCACGCAGGCGGUCUGUCAAGUCGGAUGUGAAAUCCCCGGGCUCAACCUGGGAACUGCAUUCGAAACUGGCAGGCUAGAGUCUUGUAGAGGGGGGUAGAAUUCCAGGUGUAGCGGUGAAAUGCGUAGAGAUCUGGAGGAAUACCGGUGGCGAAGGCGGCCCCCUGGACAAAGACUGACGCUCAGGUGCGAAAGCGUGGGGAGCAAACA